rnacentral:rRNA from 1 species
AUUUCCCUCUUUCUUCAGGCCUAACACAUGCAAGUCGAACGGUAACAGGAAACAGCUUGCUGUUUCGCUGACGAGUGGCGGACGGGUGAGUAAUGUCUGGGAAACUGCCUGAUGGAGGGGGAUAACUACUGGAAACGGUAGCUAAUACCGCAUAACGUCGCAAGACCAAAGAGGGGGACCUUCGGGCCUCUUGCCAUCGGAUGUGCCCAGAUGGGAUUAGCUAGUAGGUGGGGUAACGGCUCACCUAGGCGACGAUCCCUAGCUGGUCUGAGAGGAUGACCAGCCACACUGGAACUGAGACACGGUCCAGACUCCUACGGGAGGCAGCAGUGGGGAAUAUUGCACAAUGGGCGCAAGCCUGAUGCAGCCAUGCCGCGUGUAUGAAGAAGGCCUUCGGGUUGUAAAGUACUUUCAGCGGGGAUGAAGGGAGUAAAGUUAAUACCUUUGCUCAUUGACGUUACCCGCAGAAGAAGCACCGGCUAACUCCGUG